AGUGAACGCUGGCGGUAGGCCUAACACAUGCAAGUCGAACGGCAGCACAGUAAGAGCUUGCUCUUACGGGUGGCGAGUGGCGGACGGGUGAGGAAUACAUCGGAAUCUACUUUUUCGUGGGGGAUAACGUAGGGAAACUUACGCUAAUACCGCAUACGACCUACGGGUGAAAGCAGGGGAUCUUCGGACCUUGCGCGAUUGAAUGAGCCGAUGUCGGAUUAGCUAGUUGGCGGGGUAAAGGCCCACCUAGGCGACGAUCCGUAGCUGGUCUGAGAGGAUGAUCAGCCACACCGGAACUGAGAAAAGGUCCAGACUCCUAAGGGAGGCAGCAGUGGGGAAUAUUGGACAAUGGGCGCAAGCCUGAUCCAGCCAUACCGCGUGGGUGAAGAAGGCCUUCGGGUUGUAAAGCCCUUUUGUUGGGAAAGAAAAGCAGCAGGUUAAUACCCCGCUGUUCUGACGGUACCCAAAGAAUAAGCACCGGCUAACUUCGUG
rnacentral:rRNA from 1 species